UGCCCUAGUAACGGCGAGUGAAGCGGCAACAGCUCAAAUUUGAAAUCUGGCCUCGGCCCGAGUUGUAAUUUGCAGAGGAUGCUUCUGGCGCGGUGCCUUCCGAGUUCCCUGGAACGGGACGCCACAGAGGGUGAGAGCCCCGUAUGGUCGGACACCAAGCCUGUGUGAAGCUCCUUCGACGAGUCGAGUAGUUUGGGAAUGCUGCUCUAAAUGGGAGGUAAAUCUCUUCUAAAGCUAAAUACCGGCCAGAGACCGAUAGCGCACAAGUAGAGUGAUCGAAAGAUGAAAAGCACCUUGAAAAGGGGGUUAAAUAGUACGUGAAAUUGUUGAAAGGGAAGCACUUGUGACCAGACUUGGGCCGGGCGGCUCAUCAGGGGUUCUCCCCUGUGCACUCCGCCCGGCACAGGCCAGCAUCGGUUCUCGUGGGGGGAUAAGACCGUCAGGAACGUAGCACCCUCCGGGGUGUGUUAUAGCCUGGCGGACGAUACCCCCGUGGGGACCGAGGUUCGCGCUCCGCAAGGAUGCUGGCGUAAUGGUCACCAGUGACCCGUCUUGAAACACGGACCAAGGAGUCGUCCAUUAGAGCGAGCGUUUGGGUGUAAAACCCGCACGCGUAAUGAAAGUGAACGCAGGUGAGAGCUUCGGCGCAUCAUCGACCGAUCCUGAUGUUCUCGGAAGGAUUUGAGUAAGAGUUUUAACGGACGGACCCGAGAGACAGUGAACUAUGCUUGUAUAGGGUGAAGCCAGAGGAAACUCUGGUGGAGGCUCGCAGCGGUUCUGACGUGCAAAUCGAUCGUCAAAUAUGAGCAUGGGGGCGAAAGAC
rnacentral:rRNA from 1 species